ACGGGUGAGUAACGCGUGGGAAUCUACCCUUUUCUACGGAAUAACGCAGGGAAACUUGUGCUAAUACCGUAUGUGUCCUUCGGGAGAAAGAUUUAUCGGGAAAGGAUGAGCCCGCGUUGGAUUAGCUAGUUGGUGGGGUAAAGGCCUACCAAGGCGACGAUCCAUAGCUGGUCUGAGAGGAUGAUCAGCCACAUUGGGACUGAGACACGGCCCAAACUCCUACGGGAGGCAGCAGUGGGGAAUAUUGGACAAUGGGCGCAAGCCUGAUCCAGCCAUGCCGCGUGAGUGAUGAAGGCCCUAGGGUUGUAAAGCUCUUUCACCGGAGAAGAUAAUGACGGUAUCCGGAGAAGAAGCCCCGGCUAACUUCGUGCCAGCAGCCGCGGUAAUACGAAGGGGGCUAGCGUUGUUCGGAAUUACUGGGCGUAAAGCGCACGUAGGCGGAUCGAUUAGUCAGGGGUGAAAUCCCAGGGCUCAACCCUGGAACUGCCUUUGAUACUGUCGAUCUGGAGUAUGGAAGAGGUGAGUGGAAUUCCGAGU
rnacentral:rRNA from 1 species